rnacentral:lncRNA from 1 species
CCAUUUGGUAUUUUAUUUGCCUUAUUUGAUUUUCUGGCGAUUUAGAAACCCAGAAAAGCUAUUUCUUUUUCUUUUUCUUUUUCUUCCGCGGAGUACGUUUUCUCUGCAUGAAGGCGUAUUCCCGUGAAACCCGUUUCCACUUAAGUGUACCGAAAGGGUAUUAUCUAAUCUCGUCCAUCCAUUCCCCAUCCAACGGCCAUCCUUCCCCUUCCUUUUUCUUUUCUUUUUCCCUUUCUUUUUUUUCUUUUUCUCUUCUCUCCUUCCUCACGCCUUCUCCCUGGCUGCAGCCAUGGCCAAGCCAAGCCAAGCUCCGGCCGCUGCUUCUGCUCGUCGGGCCCCCCGUCGCCAAGCUCCGCCCCGGCUCCACCGCU